rnacentral:rRNA from 1 species
UAGGGAAUCUUCCACAAUGGACGAAAGUCUGAUGGAGCAACGCCGUGUGAGUGAAGAAGGGUUUCGGCUCGUAAAACUCUGUUGUUAAAGAAGAACAUAUCUGAGAGUAACUGUUCAGGUAUUGACGGUAUUUAACCAGAAAGCCACGGCUAACUACGUGCCAG